UGCCUACGGGGCGCAGCAGCGAGGAAUAUUGGUCAAUGGUCGGGAGACUGAACCAGCCAAGCCGCGUGAGGGAGGAAGGUACAGAGUAUCGUAAACCUCUUUUGUCAGGGAACAAAGGCGGGGACGUGUCCCCGGACUGCGUGUAUCCGAAGAAAAAGCAUCGGCUAACUCCGUGCCAGCAGCCGCGGUAAUACGGAGGAUGCGAGCGUUAUCCGGAUUUAUUGGGUUUAAAGGGUGCGUAGGCGGUCCGUUAAGUCAGCGGUAAAAUUGCGGGGCUCAACCCCGUCGAGCCGUUGAAACUGGCA
rnacentral:rRNA from 1 species